rnacentral:ncRNA from 2 species
AAGGGAACGCGGUCCAACACCGCGGCUGUGCCCGCAACUGUAGGCGGCGAGGCCGUCGUCCGAUCCGGGGCUUUGGCCCUGGCGUCACUGGGACCGUUUCGACGGGUCCGGGAAGGCGGGGACGGCGGCUGAUGACCCGCAAGCCAGGAGACCU